UUAUGAUGACGUGCUCUGUGUACGUACCGUCACGUGUUUUAAUAUUGUCAAUAACAAUGAAUAACGUGACAGUUCCCUCGGGUAAGAAAUUCUACCUGUCGACCUAUAACAACACAAUCAGCUCUACAGUGUAACUGCGCAUGGAGGUAGGAAAUGUCAGAACUAGUUAGUAAUGCUAGGCCCUGAUGGAAGAUUUAAGAUGGAAAAAGUGUCCUAGUAUGACUAUGAGAACUGCUCUGCAUCAUAUUCAGAAGGUGGAAUUGGCGAUUCCAUUAAACAUGAGGGCUGUUCGCCAAGCAUCCUUGCUAAGAGGGCAGUGUGUGGACAGACUCAGCAUGGUGAUUGUUACCGUUGCGUUGGUUUCCUGUCUAUCCUGUGAAGCAGCAGUGCAGACAAAAAUGAAACAACCUUUCUUAAGCAAGAAUGAUGCUGUUGAUGUGCAAGUGACAGUUAAUACGAAGGACAUCAUCCACGUCACAGACAAAAGGUUUCUUUCUGUGGCCUUCACGAUAGGGGACUUACGCAAGCACUGGCAAGAUGACCACCUUCAGUUGAGACAACUGCAUACUCUCGGUGAGGGUCUGUCUCCUUCCUUUUUACGCUUGGGAGGAAGUCGGGCCAAUUUUGCAUUCUUCAAGCAAACUUCCCUGGAUGCAGAGCAACUCAAAUUCAAAAAUUUCACAUUCACAGGUGGAGACUGGGAUGAAAUCAAUAAUUUCAGUCGCUCGUUGGGCUGGGAUCUCAUCUUUGACAUCAAUGAAUUCCUGCGGACAAAUGGCCAGUGGGACCCAACCAACUUCAAAACAUUACUGGAUUACAACACAGCGAUGAACUACACAGUGCCGGUCUGGCAGAUGGGAAAUGAACCCAAUGCCUAUCAACACUCAGAGGGAGUGACCAUCACCGCCCCUCAAGUGGCUGCAGACUACAUCAAGUUGAGAGCUCUCCUCAACGCCAGAAAGCAGUACGCAGAUGCCCUCAUCAUUGGCCCAGAUGUCACGCAGCCACGACACUUGCUGGGAUUCUCUGCGGUCAAGUUCUUGCAGGGAUUCCUGUCGAAGUGUGGGGAUUGCACCAAUGUGACCACCUUCCAUAGCUACUACCUGUCCUCCCGCACGGCCAAGCUGGAUGACUUCAUCAAUCCCACCACCCUCGACGUCCUGAGGGGCGAGAUCAGAGCGAUAAGGAACAUUGUCAGGCAGUAUCGUCCGCAGUCAACUCCCAGGAUCUGGCUGACGGAGACAGGAGAUUCUGUCCCCGGGGGUGUGUCAGGAAUAUCAGAUCGAUAUGUUGGUGGUUUUCCGUUUCUGGACAAGUUGGGAGUGAGUGCUCAGGAGGGCUUGGAAGCCAUCAUGAAACAGCAGUUCAUUGGCAGGUUCAUUGGCCUUGUCAACAACUCCAACAUAGAGCCCCGACCUGCAUACUGGGUGGCAUAUCUUCACAAGAAACUUGUGGGACAGCGAGUGUUGAAUGUGACAAUAGACCAAGGUGGGAGCAGUCUGCGCAUCUAUGCCCACUGCAGCCAAACAAGAAAUUCAAGAUACAGACCUGGAGAUGUUACCAUCCUCGCCCUGAACCUGGACAAAACAAAGGGAAUACGGCUGAGUUUACAAGGUAGUCUGGCAGAGAAGACCAUCGAAGAGUACUCACUGACACCAUAUGGGGAUGAUGGUCUGCAUGCGAGAUACGUCAGUUUGAAUGGCAUCAAGCUCGACUUGACCAAUGAUAUGAACCUCCCCAAAUUGAAGCCACACCCCCUCGUGCACCCAUCCACAGUCAUGCUUCCCCCUCUCCGCUACGGUUUCUAUGUCAUAACAGGCUCAGCUGUAAGAGCCUGUAUGUGAGUACUGCUUACAGAUAACUUUGAGAGUUGAUUUUUGUGUGCAUGCCUUCCGUUAUUGAUGAGAAGUAUUGCCCAUCUUGAGCUCUGUAUGUGAGAAUGACAGUCCAGUGUCAAAGCAUACUGUUUUACGUACCUUUUUUUCUGCAUUAAUUCUUGGCCAGCGAUGGAAAUUUGGACGGUUUACUCAUUUGUAAUUUUAAAGCCACAUUUGUACUGGACUGAAAAUUGUAAAUUUUAUCACAAGUGUUCGUUCGCAUUCGAUCAUAGUUUUUCUUCUGUGCGCCCACCUGUGGAUUAUAGAGGCCAGCAGAAAGUCCCAUGGCCACCAUAAACCUGUAGUUGCAUGUCAUGUCACGAUCACAUGAGGACGCCCUGCUAUUGACUGUAAUCAGCCACUAGAUGUGGUUUGAUAACAGCGUCUGUAAGGUUCAAAAGCACAGUGAAGUAGCCAAUGAAGUACAAUUCGAACACUGGCUUAAUGUUUGUUUUUUAACCUUCUAAGGAAUUAGCCAACAACUCGGGCGUGCAUUGCGGGAAACCAUAUUAAAAAUGUCCACCGUUGCAUAUUACAAACUGUAGACAUUGAGUAUUGGCAGAAAACGUACCAUUGAGAAUCGUGUAUACUAAAUUAUUCAUGAGUGUUGUUGUUUGUGUACCAAGUUCAACUGGACUGAGGGGUUAUGGGCAUAAACGUAAGGCCCAGAUUUUAAAAUCUAGGUCUCUUUUGAAUAUUUGUGUUAACAGAUCUGAAAUUUUUCUUUGUAAAAUGGUUAAAAUACAGAUGUCUCAUUCAAAAUGCAAUGAUUUGUUGUAUUUUUUUGGUAUUGAUGUGCAGACUUCGGACAGGUUAAUUUUUGCAGUAUUGGCUAAUACAUGUACAUGUCCAGUGUAAUCUCUGUAUAUUUUGCAAGAAUAUCCUUUUUUUUAUAUCCAGGAAAAGCUGUUUAAGUGGUGUUAUUCUCUAAAAGAUAAAUCAGCAUGAAUUGGUAUUGCCUGAGGUUUUGUUUAUAUGUACCCCAACCUAACAAAUGAACCUGUAAGUUGCUAAAUAAAAAUAAUGAAAAUUUAUAGAGCGCCGGUAUCCGCCAUGAACGGCACUCAUGGUGCUAAUUAACAAAGGCAUGUUUGGGUUACAGACCAUGAACAGAAUCUUGCACUCUGUCAGUCAGUAGGACCCCUCAACAUUUUUUGCCUAUGUAGCAGCCAUUUUCAUCAAGAUACGGAAUUGAGUGAUGUCCCAAAACAAAACAGCUCAAUUUGCUCUUUCUAAUGCAAGAUAAGAUAAAAUUUCUGGAAAAACAGCCGGAAGAUAACUUUUGCAAGAUUUGAUCACAUAUACAGAGCAAUUAUCUCAUGUCAUGGAGACAAUUUUGAUAAAAUAAUGAAAAUUGUAUGUGUAUUUUCAUAAUGCAGAAUGAAUUUCGUACAUUGGUUGAAUUCGUUAGAAUCACGGCUGCGCUAGCUGGAGUAAGAUUACAGUAUUGUAAUUCAAGGGGCUUUGCAAUUUUCAAUCUUACCUUUCAGGUCACUAGUUUAUAGAAUGAAUUUCAUCAAUUCUAUUUAUUCUUUACCACUCACAGAUGUUCUAGCUGGAGUACAGUUGGCCUAUAAUAAUUUGAGGAUGCUUUAAAAUAUUCAGUCAUACUUCGUAAGUCAGUGUGUCAUAAUUGGUUUUUGUAAUGUCGCACUGUGCUUGACAGAAAAGUUGAUGUGGCAAUUUGGAGUGUGCAUUUCUGUAAUAUGCUCCGUUACUUUUGAUCCUGCAUUCCAAUGGGGACUUCUACCAGAUCUCUUUCUUUGUCUUUCAAAAUCUACCAGGAGGUUUUGGAGGAGCGCUUAACUGUUAAUCACUUCACAUGAACCUUGAUGCCCGUGUUGUUGGCUGUUUAGUCCCUUUUGUGGUUUGGGGGAUAUGGUGAUCAGGGGCUUGGACCUGGGGGUUUUUCUGAGGACUGACCGAGCUGUCAGUAUCUUAUCUUCCAAGGAAAGUGUGUUCACCGAUCAGGUGUAAACGGGUCAGCUAGGUCUGAGUAUGUACCGGGUGUCAUUGAGGUAGAAAACAUGAAACAGGGCCAGAUUCAUUCGCCACAACUCUCCUCAUCCUUUGGACUAGAUUUUGCCCGCUGUCUUUGUGUUCCCAGAGGCUCCAUGCCUUUCUUGUUAACCUCUUUGUCUUGAUAAUCUCUCUCUUCCUUCAUGGACUCUUGUGUCUGGGCUGGACACAGCCGUGGGAGAAGUCCAUCACUUGACAACUGCUCCCAUGGGAGGAAGAAACAUCUGACAUGCAUUUGAGUUUUGCAGCAUAUCCCUGUGGCUGUCUUUAGUCAGACGGUGCUGGAAACUGCGUUAAUUGUUCUGGGAUUUUGGAGGUAUAAAUCACUCCUCAAGGCUCAUAUGGCCUCUCAUGGCAUUGUGGACCAAGUAUGUACAACCUUUUUCCAUAUUUUCAUCAAUUCCCUUUUUGAAAAGGGAGUAUUCGUUCCUGAAAUUUAACGUCAAAGCUCUUUGGGAAAUACUAAAAACUGCUGUAAACUGCUCACUGACUACAGUGACCUUAAAUAUACAAAUUGCAAAUGUCAGAGGACCUGAAGGUUUUAUCCUAGUUGAAGCUUUCUCUCAAGCAAAAUGUACAAGUGUUUUUUGCAGUAUUAUUUGUGAAAUCUAGUCUUUCUUAUGUCUAUUUUUCAAUGAGUCGUCAGACUUCUUUUGAACUGUCUUUCUUCAUUUUUUAUGAAAGCCGGAGAUGGUAGGACCGGGUUUAGUCAGCAAUUUAAAAUACGCUGACAAGGACAGCUCCAGAGCCGUUCUUGGGGGGCCGAGCAAAUUUUGUUCAAGGGGACCAUAAACUAUGGAGGCUGAGUUUUGAGUAUUUUUGCAUGUUUUUGUACAGUGGAGGGAAAUGAAAAUGUUGACCAAACAUUUCCCUUUUGGGGCGUGGCCCUAUUUCCUACCCACCCCCAUCCAUCAGUGUUGUCCGAAAGUGGUGCAUUGUACAUUUUGUUUACAUUGCCACCCAUUCCUCAUAAAAAAAUCAAGAGGUUUUUUUUUUGAGAGUAAAAUGAAAGGCAAAGAUAGUUGUUUUUGUGUAUUGUAGAAGACCCCUUUUAAACACUGGUGCACACAGGCCACUUCAGCUUGCUGGGCUGAGGAACAAUCGACAAGCAAAAACUUGUCUACAUUAGUUCCUUGUCAGUGAAGUUGUCUGACAUUUCACCACAUUGCAAUAAUGCAGAUGCAGUUAUAAUACAUGUACACAGUUCUUUAUGUGCAUAGCAGAGUACAGUGCAGAAAGUUAAGGUCCGCAAAAGGACAGAAUUUGAUCUCUGGUUUAAUUGUUCUCGGUUCUUUUUUUUUUCACUUUGAUGCGUAUCGUCAUCAUACACCGCGCUGGUGCCAAAGGUUACGGACAGCUUUUGACACUCAUAUCUCUCAGUUGAAACUAUAUAUUUAUAGCUGACACUUUCAUGAGAUCAAGUUUGCAUCGAAUGAGCCGAAUUCAACUUUGUCACUUCAGAAACGUUAUCUGUCUUGCUCAGCGAGGUAAUACAAACAAAGCGAUCGUGUACGGAUGGAAUGAAUUAUAUUAAUUUAAUGACCAUUUGAAUUCUUCACGGUUUUACUGAUCGCACCUCCAGCUCCAACGAUGUGUGAGUUACCAUGAAAUCGCAUGCACCGUCCACGUGCAGAAGAAUCCUCCGUUAUUUACUUCAUUUGUUGAGGAACAGCGUCAGUAGGGACUUAGUGGAGUAUCCGUUAAUUCACUGGAAUCAUCUUUUGUUUAGGGGGCGUGGGUAUUAGGUAAUAUCACACUUAUUAUGGGGAUGUAAAAUUAUUUUUUAUUUAUGUGAAUUUAUCCUGGCAAAAUUAUUGUGUUUUUGUUGUUUUUGGUUUUGGGGUUUUUUUUUUUAAGAGAGAGAGAGAGAAAAAAAAAAACAAAAUUGGAGAUUUCUUUAUUUAUAUCAACAGAAUGUACAACAGCUAUAUUUUUGUAUGACAGGAGUGUUUCAUUGAUCAGUACUUAACUUGAUGAAAUAAAAUGUAUACAAAAUCAG
rnacentral:misc_RNA from 1 species